GGAAACCCACGCUGAGGGAAGAAUCAUGGGAAAGAGUAGAGACGGGGUUCCACCGUGUUAGCCAGGAUGGUCUCGAUUUCCUGACCUCGUCAUCCUCCCGCCUUGGCCUCCCAAAGUGCUGGGAUUACAGGCUUGAGCCACCGCGCCCCGCUCUUUCGUGUUCCAAAGGCUUUUUAAAUAAACUUCCACUCCUGUCCUGGAUUCUGCUUUAUGGCCCUCAGUCGAAUUCUUUCUUCUGAGGAGGCAAGGACUGAAGUUGCUUCUGACCAGUACAGGAGAAAACGAAUACAGCAGGGAUGACUUCCACCAGCUCCACUUUGCAGCUCUGAGGUGUAUUAAAAAUGACCUGGAAGAAGUCAUGCCACGGGCCAGACCUUAACAUUCCUUUCGGCUUACCCCAGGAUUUCAGACAAAGCUUCACUUUCCUAACCAGUCACAAAUCAGAGAAUUUUUGAUUCCACCUAUGACCUGUGAGCUCCUGCUUCAAGAUAUUCCACCUUUUUUAGGCCAAACCAAUGUAUAACCUCCAAGUGUCGAUUUACACUUUCGACUGUAACUUCUGCUUUCCUGAGAUUUACCCCUGCCUUUAAAAACCCUUGCUUGUAAUCCCUCAGGGAGGCCGUGUAUUUAUUAAUCAUGAGCUGCCCAAUUCUCCUUGCUUGGUGCCCUGCAAAUAAACACCCUCUUUUCUCCCACUGC
rnacentral:lncRNA from 1 species